rnacentral:rRNA from 1 species
GAAUGCUGACAUAAGUAACGAUAAAGCGGGUGAAAAGCCCGCUCGCCGGAAGACCAAGGGUUCCUGUCCAACGUUAAUCGGGGCAGGGUGAGUCGACCCCUAAGGCGAGGCCGAAAGGCGUAGUCGAUGGGAAACGGGUUAAUAUUCCCGUACUUGGUGUUACUGCGAAGGGGGGACGGAGAAGGCUAUGUUGGCCGGGCGACGGUUGUCCCGGUUUAAGCGUGUAGGCUGGUUUUCCAGGCAAAUCCGGAAAAUCAAGGCUGAGGCGUGAUGACGAGGCACUACGGUGCUGAAGCAACAAAUGCCCUGCUUCCAGGAAAAGCCUCUAAGCAUCAGGUAACAUCAAAUCGUACCCCAAACCGACACAGGUGGUCAGGUAGAGAAUACCAAGGCGCUUGAGAGAACUCGGGUGAAGGAACUAGGCAAAAUGGUGCCGUAACUUCGGGAGAAGGCACGCUGACAUGUAGGUGAAGUGAUUUACUCA